GAGAAAAUUCAUUCUCCAGAACAGCAUAAAACAUUCUGUGCCUGACUCCUAAAAAACUUGGAUUCUUGUUGCUCCCCACCACCUCCCAGACGUACACACAACUUCCUAGCUGUGUGACUUGGGCCCAUGACAUGACCUCUUUAAGCCUGACUCAGUUUCCUCAUCUGUAAAACUCUUGGGGCUGUAGUGCAGUUCAACUGAAAAGCUAUCUGAAGCCUUUUUGUAAACUAUGAAGCACUAUCCAAGUAUCAUGGAGUAAUUUUUUUUUUCUGCUAAUACCAGUUGGGGUACCUAUUCUCAAAUGAAAGGGAAAUUGGGGCAGAUGUCCUGCUUCUGCCUUCAAUUACAAAUGAGUCAAGCCUAGUAUGGAGAGAAGUUGUAUGAAGAGAGAAUAAAGUGAAGGCUGACAGCGUUAUUCAGAAGUAAAACCUGUAAGAAUAUUAGAUUUCAUGUCACAGAAAAGAUUAUAAAAGAUGUAAUGGGCAGCUUUUUAAGUUUGCACAAGGAGACAAGGGGAAAGCCUGGGCCUAAAAAUAAGAAUAAGCCAUUGGAAAUUUUGUUGAAGGACAUCGUGGAUGACAUUGAGCCUAAGAAUGAUGAAUUCUAGACCUCAUUCUACCAUGGAGCUUCUGAGUAACCUUGCGCUGGAGAUUUACUUUCUCCAAGCUCAUUUCUCUGUCUGAGAGCUGAGGGUACUAAUAGAGGCCACCUACGACUGUCCUUAGGCUUGAUGAGUGUUUGUGAAUGUUCAGAGCAGUUUGGAAGGAUAAAGGUUUUAAGAAUACAACAUGUUAUUUAGAAAAAGUGAAAACAUGAUCAGAGAAGACUUGGAGCAUCUUCCUCUACAUAGCCUUUUCAUGAGAUUCCUCUUUUUGUCUUAUAAGGGAGAAAAUCAGGUCAGGAGAUGACUAAUCCCACAGGCUAAUCCCUUCCUUUAAUGUUCUCUGGACACACGCUCUUCUCCAAAAGGAGCACAUUGGAAUGUUGUCUUCAGAUUUCCUCCUCAAUGUAAAUGUGUUCUUUCCUAGGAAUACGAGAGUGGAGUUUUGGUAGUUUUUUGCUGGCUGUGGGCCUGGGGCAGUCAGAUGUUCUUGAUCCCUCACUUUACCUUGGGCUUUGUGCAGAUCACAGUCCUGUUCAGCUUCCUUUCCUCAUAUGUACAAGUGGAAUAAAAACACCACUGUCUGAGAGGUCAAGUGAAAAUUAAUUAGCUGUGUUUUCUUUAAGUUCCUCUCCAUUGAUAUUUCAGCGCUCUCUGUAUCAUUAAUUGGAACAACACGUUCAAACAUUACUUCUAUCCCAUGACCACAAAGUUCUCAAUGGAAAUGGGUAUGAAGGGAUCUGGGAAAUUUGCUCAUCACUAAAGUGUUGGGAUUCUGGUGACAUUUCCUGAGCUUUACACUUUAAAAAGGCUCAGGGGACCUUUGCUGCAUCUGGUAGCCACCUUUCAAUUGAGUGUUAGUUUAAAAAUGCCCAAAAUAUUUUUAUUUCUUUGCUUUCUCUUCCUUUCUUUCUUUGUUGAUAUUUCUCUCUGAAUCUCUCUGGGUUUCACUCUUUCUCACUCUCUCUGUUUCUCUCUCUCAUUUCCCUAAACUUGAGGGAAGUGGUGAAAAUAAAAGUUUAAGCUGAGUGUGUUUUAACAAAGUUGGCCAGCUCGCAGCCUUGCUGGGAAAUAAAGAGCUUUUUAAAUACAAGUGUCAUCAAACUCAUUAGCGUCCUCCUCCCCUUACCUCUUCCACAUUGGGUCACUAACAAGUUACACUGUUUUUCUCUUUCCUCUCCAGUCGCCCUUGUUCUGGGGUUUUGUUCUCUUCUUCCUCAUUUCUGCCUUGCUUGCUCAUCUUAGAAGCUUGGGUUGCCCCUGCUGCCACCACUGUCAUCACUCCCCAGCAGACAGAAAGGCUAAAAUGUCAAAAGAUGCCUCGGUUGCCUCUGACAAAAGUGCAGAUCAGCUCUGAAAGGGAAUAAAUAUGAUAGGGGGCACAAUAAUAACAGUGUGCACUUGUUAACUACAAAAAUCCAGCGGGACCUGGGGGCAGGAGGGAGGGAACCAUGGAGAAUAGAAGCUGCCUGGGCAGGAGCCCCCCCGAGGGGAAAGAGUGGAGGGGGUCCUCCAGCAGCAACCAUCAAUUCUAUGGGCUGGUUUUGUUUUGUUUUGUGAGGUCUGAACUGAGGCUCAGCUGAUGGGGCAGGGGGUGGCGAGGGGGUGAAUAAGGGAUUUUACCCAAACCAGUGACUCUGAAUGGAGGUCUUGGGCUCUGUUGAGGGGGCCUCGGCAAUGGGAGCUUGAAAAGAGGGUCUUUGGGUUGUUUGGGGGGGUUGGGGGGUGGGCGGGGGCUGAGGGAACAUUUUGAGGUGGGAGGGGUAGAGGGAAGGAGGAAAAUAGCACAAUAAUGGGAAAAAGGAGGCCAGCUUCUGAGCUCUCAUUUCUGACAAUGAGUCCCAUGUGGUUCUCUUUAUCUCAGCCAUUCAGGAGUCAAUAGAGAGAGCUUUUUUAUUUUCAACUCUGAGUGUACAGCCACCCCCAUUUCACACACACACACACUCACACACACACACUCACCUAAAAGUGCAAGACAGAGCAAGACAUUGGAAAUAUCUAAAAAGCUAUUUCUUUAGCACUGAUCUGCUGAAUUGUAGGUCCUUUUGCCAGCACUACACAUAUGGGACAUUCAAUUCACAGGCAUCUCUGCCACUGGUCUGCCUCUGUUCCCCCAGCAUCCCCACUCUCAGCCUCUAAUCCCUUUUUCCUCUGUUACAUACCCCUCCUCUUCCCUUUCCAUGGAUUCCUUGGUCCUCAACUCUUUAGAAAGACAUGAGUCAUGUGAUGACAGGUGAAGCAGAGAUCCAUGAUGGAGAGAUGGUUAUCUUUCACUAAAAUAAGCAAAAAAAGAUGGGAGAAAAACCAGCCUGAACUCUAGCCUGAUUGUUUCAGUGUGUAGAAAACAGCAGACAACAAACAACAACAUUGUUUUUGAUGGUAGAUUUCUGUGAAAUAGUAAGUCCCCAGUUGGGAAGAUCCCUUUCCAUUUGUUCCUACACUAUCACUGUGGCAACCACAGCCUCUGAAGUUAGCCCAAUAGAAAAUAAUCCAUCUAUUUUUGUUUAAUGAAUAUCGUUAUGGAUUCUCAUGGAAUGAGUCUGAUCAGGUACAGUAUUCUUAAUCAGGGGUGGAAGCUUUAAAAAAUAUGUAGAUUCCAGGCCUCAUCUCUGUAAGAUUCAGAUUCAGUAGCUCUGAAUGGGGCUUGGGAUUUGUGAGUUGUGUGUGUGUGUGUGUGUGUGUGUUGGAUCAGAGAGGCAUUAGUCAAAUAAUGGUCACUAGGUAUGAGUCCAAUGCCAGACAAAUGGCUGAUUACUUGAUUCAGAUCCAUCUGACCAUGGGAAGGCUCUCUGCUAUGAAGCAGUGUGGUCGAAUGAAAGAAAUGGGAAGGAGGAAAUGAUCAUUUUCACUACCAAAGAAGAUAAGGGGAAGAAGUCACUGAAAAUGACAAUAACAUAAAGCAAUUGUUUUAUGCCACACAGUUCCUCCAAGAAUUGGAAAGGGAGAUGAGACCCACUCAUCUCAAGUGACUUGCCCAAGGUCACACAGCUGCUAAGUGGCUGAGCCAGAAUGCCUCCCCAGACCUGAAUAAUAUAAACAGCAUGCUCUGAAGUGGGGGGAGACCCCAGGAGUGGGGUGGGAUUAAGGGAACACUGGAAAGCAGGCUUUGCACAGCCCAUGGGAAUGCUCAUAAGGACUGGUCAUGCACACAAUGGCUGUGAGCUAUGGAGUGGCUCCUGGCCACUGCCUUCUCAUCAAGGCCUCCAUGAUGACUGCUCUGGGUAUUUGAAGUUACUAAGAGAAUUGAUCUUAUAAGUUCUCAUCAUGAGGGAAGAAAUUAUAACUACAUGAAGUGAUGGGGGUUAACUCAUCUUGUGGUGAUCCUUUUGCAAUAUACCUAUACAUAUGUCAAUCAUUAUGUCAUCACUUUAAACUUAUACUAUGUUCUGUAUCAAUUAUAUCUCCAUAUAUCUGAGGGAGAAUAUGUAAUUUUUUUAAAGAACUCCAGGCUUCUCUUCACCUCUCACAAAUCUCAUUUCCUCCUUGUAAUACAACUUGCUUUGCUGGGCAAAGUACCCUGCACCAAGCACAGAAGGAAGAUGAGUAUUGCUUUCAAAUCUCUCUGAGCAGAGAAAUGAGUGUAGCUUUCAGGUCUCUCUCAUAUGAAAAGGAACUCACAGUUGCUCUUUCCUUGGCUCCAUUUACAGUGUCUUGAGGGUUCAAGCUGUGUGGCUUGGCUGUGAAUAUUGGGGAGGAUGUGAAGAAGGUCAGAGUCAAUCCAUCUUCAUAAAGCUCUCUCCAUUUCUUGCCAAGUUGGUGAAGUAACAUCUUGCCACUGGCGCAAAUGUGUCGUGGACCAGCAACAAAAGUCAUCACAUGGGAGCUUGUGAGAAAUGCAGACUCUCGGGACACCCCUCAGAAUCAGCAUCUUCACAAGAUUGCCAAUUGAUUCACAUUAAAGUUUGCAAA
rnacentral:lncRNA from 1 species